rnacentral:rRNA from 1 species
UACGUAGGUGGCAAGCGUUGUCCGGAAUUACUGGGCGUAAAGGGCGUGUAGGCGGAUCUUUAAGUCAGGUGUGAAAUCUUUGGGCUUAACCCAGAGUUUGCAUUUGAUACUGGGGAUCUUGAGUGCAGGAGAGGGCAGUGGAAUUCCUAGUGUAGCGGUGAAAUGCGUAGAUAUUAGGAGGAACACCAGUGGCGAAGGCGACUGCCUGGACUGUAACUGACGCUGAGGCGCGAAAGCGUGGGGAGCAAACAGGAUUAGAUACCCCCGUAGU